AUCUGAAGUUUAGAUAAAUGCUCUGUAAUUCUCAAGAGCAGUAGUGGAAGCCUCAGUAAAAUCUGCCUGAAGCUAAAAAUACACAUUGCCCAGGCUGCUCUCCAUGCAGACUGUACAGUCAACUGACAGCUCACACCACCCCAGGCUGCCCUCAGCACAGACUGUACAGUUCACACCACUCCAGGCUGCCCUCAGCACAGACUAUAUAGCUCACACCACCCCAGGCUGCCCUCAGCACAGACUGUACAGCUCACACCGCCCCAGUCUGCCCUCAGCACAGACUAUACAGUUCACACCGCCCCAGGCUGCCCUCAGCACAGACUAUACAGUUCACACCGCCCCCAGGCUGCCCUCAGCACAGACUGUACAGCUCACACCGCCCCAGGCUGCCCUCAGCACAGACUGUAUAGUUCACACCGCCCCAGGCUGCCCUCAGCACAGACUGUACAGUUCACACCACCCCAGGCUGCCCUCAGCACAGACUGUACUGUUAACAUUACUGUGCCCAGUAUUACCACUUCCUCUUCCCUGACACAGUCAUACACAAAUUAUCUCUCUGUGUAGAUGACUGCCACAUAUUUUCAACUAGACACUCAGCCUGGUGCAGUAGAUUGAAAGCCUCCUCAUGGGGGAAGAGGAAUCUCAUAGAGCAGACUAAAGGCAGAACCAGGCCCCUCAGAACCUCAGCUACCUUGAUGAACAGAUACUACACAAUCCAGGAACGAGGGUAGGAACAAAAUAUAUUACCAAUCCUCUGCUUCUACAUCGUGCAUUUGAGUCUCAAGCCGGCUUUGCCCUCUCAUUAGUCAGGCCUGUCAUGGUCCUGGGAAGGGUGACCAGGCAUGUCUCAGCCUCCAUUACCAGAGAAUACACCCACAAAACCCGAAUUCCCAGUUCCUGCACCAGAGUGCACCCAAUGUGUGGCUGCUCAAGAAUAAAUAAGCUUUGUUUCGAAGAAGUGUACGCUUUAGUUCAGGAUUGAACGGAGCAUAGGCAAUGCGGACAGAUGCUAGCACUGCCCUUGGUCGCCGAGACGAGUGUCACCCGCCCCAGUGCUUCCUGAGGUGCUCUUUCAGCUGCGGGAUGGAAGGCAGCAGCUGCUGACACUCAUGGCAACGGAGAGGCAGCUUCAAGAGCUCACAAGUGCCAUCUUUAACAGUCACUCUGCCG
rnacentral:lncRNA from 1 species